rnacentral:rRNA from 1 species
UACGAAGGGGGCUAGCGUUGCUCGGAAUUACUGGGCGUAAAGCGCACGUAGGCGGAUUGUUAAGUCGGGGGUGAAAUCCUGGAGCUCAACUCCAGAACUGCCUUCGGUACUGGCGAUCUCGAGUCCGGGAGAGGUGAGUGGAACUGCGAGUGUAGAGGUGAAAUUCGUAGAUAUUCGCAAGAACACCAGUGGCGAAGGCGGCUCACUGGCCCGGAACUGACG